AGUAACGGCGAGUGAAGCGGCAACAGCUCAAAUUUGAAAUCUGGCCCCCGGGUCCGAGUUGUAAUUUGCAGAGGAUGCUUUUGGUGAAGUGCCUUCCGAGUCCCUUGGAACAGGGCGCCAUAGAGGGUGAGAGCCCCGUCUGGUCGUGCACUGAGCCUCUGUAAAGCUCCUUCGACGAGUCGAGUAGUUUGGGAAUGCUGCUCUAAAUGGGAGGUGUAUGUCUUCUAAAGCUAAAUACCGGCCAGAGACCGAUAGCGCACAAGUAGAGUGAUCGAAAGAUGAAAAGUACUCUGAAGAGAGAGUUAAAUAGCACGUGAAAUUGUUAAAGGGGAAGCGUUUAUGACCAGACUUGAGGCCGGCCGAUCAUCCAGCGUUCUCGCUGGUGCACUCGGCCGGUUUUAGGCCAGCAUCGGUUCGCGCCGGGGGAGAAAGGCUUCGGGAACGUAGCUCCUUCGGGAGUGUUAUAGACCGUUGCGUAAUACCCUGGGGCGGACCGAGGAACGCGCUUCGGCACGGAUGCUGGCGUAAUGGUCACCAACGACCCGUCUUGAAACACGGACCAAGGAGUCGUCCUCGUAUGCGAGUGUUCGGGUGUCAAACCCCUACGCGGAAUGAAAGUGAACGUAGGUGAGAGCUUCGGCGCAUCACCGACCGAUCCUGAUGUUCU
rnacentral:rRNA from 1 species